AAUAAUAAUAAACAAAUAAUGGAUAAGCAAAAGACAAUGAGUGACAUGGUGAAUACAAGAAACAUUUAUUUGAAUGCAUGAUUUGAUACACUAAUUAUAGGGGUCCUUGCAAGCGCAAUCUGUGCCAAAUUCACCUGAGUUACAAUGAUCCAACUCAUUUACAUUACAAAAGAAUUAGGUGGGCAUGAGGAGCCACUGGCCGUUACAUGACCUUAAAAAACCUCAUUAGUCAUCCGGCAAUGAGCUGCUUAUUAUCGUGCAUACGGGUUCGAAACAAAGGGAUGACAAAACCGUGCACGCGAGAGCGCGCAAGGCACGUGAGCGUCAAACAACAAAAUAAUUCACCGUUUAUAACGUUACAACCAUGGCUGGACCAUGGCUGCGUGUCAGUUGCAUAAGCGUGUUGUAUAUACAGACGUAAAGCGUUAUAACACUUCAGUGAACACACUAGACAGACUCUUUGUCUAGCAAUGCUGUAAUGACAAUGAGCUCUCGGAUUGACUGUGGGUUAGGAUUGAUGAUUCUGGGAGAGGAUGCCAAAUCUCUGCCUUCAGACCCUUCUGAAGCUUCACAUGCCCCGAAGACAGGAUAGUUCUCAGGAAACGGCAUUGCAGGAAGCAUCCUGGCUGUGGGAGUUGGAGCACAUAUACUACUCCAUUUUGAUGAACAGCCACUGUGCUGAAAUGAAGAAAACUGGACAGUCCAACUCUGCUCAGUGCAGACUUAUAACCUUGCUAAAACAACAUUAGUGCUUUAAGCAAAAAGAAGGACAUGUCAAGUCUACAUGAGACUAGAAUCUGUCAUGAUUCUGACCUCGUGUCCUUGAUUUUUCCCUAGUCUUGAGGCAGGAUCAUGACAGACCCAUGUUUUGUGUACAAGCACAUGGCCUUGUCUUUGGGUCAUGUGCUUGUGUUGUCUCGUUCCCUUGCCCCGCCCCCCUUGUUAACCUAGUCGUGUCGUGAUUGCUAUCUGUGCCACCUGUCGUGUCUUAAUUGUUCCCCUAUUUAGCUUUCCUAGUGUGCUCUGUCUUACGUCGGUUCAUUGUGUUCCUCACCUGUGAUUAUUCCCUGGUAACCCCUUUGAGAUAUUGUGUCCUGUAUAACCGUGAGUGUUUACUUGUAGUUAGUGUUCUCUAGUUUUGAGUCUUUGUUUAUCUUGUCUAAUUAGUCCUGUUUAGUUAUUUUUUUUGUAUCUGCCCUAGUCCUUGUUUUCCCCCUCGUGGGUUUUGUUUUCCCCUUUUGUAUUAAUAAGUCCUGUGUGUAACCCGAUCCCUGUCUGCACCUGAGUUCCUCCCUUGCAAACCCUGACAGAAUGAACCGACCUCCAAGGAACUCAGCAGACAGGAGGCAAUGCUGGAUGUCAUCAGCCAGCAAGCGGGAUGGUUUUGAGGGCUCUCGCCUAGUGGUGU